CGGUGGAGCAUGUGGUUUAAUUCGAUCGCAACGCGAAAACCUUACCCACCUUUGACAUGUACGGAACCCUUUAGAGAUAGAGGGGUGCUCGAAAGAGAGCCGUAACACAGGUGCUGCAUGGCUGUCGUCAGCUCGUGUCGUGAGAUGUUGGGUUAAGUCCCGCAACGAGCGCAACCCUUGUCAUUAGUUGCUACAUUCAGUUGGGCACUCUAAUGAGACUGCCGGUGACAAGCCGGAGGAAGGUGGGGAUGACGUCAAGUCCUCAUGGCCCUUAUAGGUGGGGCUACACACGUCAUACAAUGGCUGGUACAAAGGGUUGCCAACCCGCGAGGGGGAGCCAAUCCCAUAAAGCCAGUCGUAGUCCGGAUCGUAGUCUGCAACUCGACUACGUGAAGUCGGAAUCGCUAGUAAUCGCAGAUCAGCACGCUACGGUGAAUACGUUCCCGGGCCUU
rnacentral:rRNA from 1 species